CACUGAGGUGCGAAAGCGUGGGUAGCAAACAGGAUUAGAUACCCUGGUAGUCCACGCCGUAAACGAUGUCGACCAGCCGUUGGGUGCCUAGCGCACUUUGUGGCGAAGUUAACGCGAUAAGUCGACCGCCUGGGGAGUACGGCCGCAAGGUUAAAACUCAAAUGAAUUGACGGGGGCCCGCACAAGCGGUGGAGCAUGUGGUUUAAUUCGAUGCAACGCGAAGAACCUUACCUACUCUUGACAUCCUGCGAACUUGUGAGAGAUCACUUGGUGCCUUCGGGAGCGCAGAGACAGGCGCUGCAUGGCUGUCGUCAGCUCGUGUUGUGAAAUGUUGGGUUAAGUCCCGUAACGAGCGCAACCCUUGUCCUUAUUUGCCAGCGGGUAAUGCCGGGAACUCUAAGGAGACUGCCGGUGACAAACCGGAGGAAGGUGGGGACGACGUCAAGUCAUCAUGGCCCUUACGAGUAGGGCUACACACGUGCUACAAUGGCCGGUACAAAGGGUUGCGAGCUCGCGAGAGUCAGCUAAUCCCGAAAAGCCGGUCUCAGUCCGGAUCGGAGUCUGCAACUCGACUCCGUGAAGUCGGAAUCGCUAGUAAUCGUGAAUCAGAAUGUCACGGUGAAUACGUUCCCGGGCCUUGCACACACCGCCCGU
rnacentral:rRNA from 1 species